rnacentral:misc_RNA from 1 species
UCGCGGCUUAUCACCGGCAGUCGCCUUAGAGUGCCCAACUAAAUGAUGGCAACUAAUGGCGAGGGUUGCGCUCGUUGCGGGACUUAACCCAACAUCUCACGACACGAGCUGACGACAGCCAUGCAGCACCUGUGUUCCGACCUAUUGCUAGGAGGAAUCCAUCUCUGGAAACCGUCCAGACAUGUCAAGGGUAGGUAAGGUUGUUCGCGUUGCAUCGAAUUAAUCCACAUCAUCCACCGCUUGUGCGGGUCCCCGUCAAUUCCUUUGAGUUUUAACCUUGCGGCCGUACUCCCCAGGCGGCUCACUUCACGCGUUAGCUUCGGUACCAAGGAAUCGCUCACACCAAGUAUGCAUCGUUUAGGGCGUGGACUAC